GGCUCGUUGGUCUAGGCUAGGUAUGAUUCUCGCUUAGGGUGCGAGAGGUCCCUGGUUCAAAUCCUGGAUGAGCCA